UGAGUCCUGAUGUGUUCGUUGUGCAACCUAGUUUUGACCGAACAUUUUCUUGUACGGGAGUUUGGAGUUUUCAGGCAGAGUACAUGCCUCGCUGAAGAGGACUUACACAAGCUCGAAACAGAACACCCACCUGCUGAGAGCGGGUUCAAAGCAAUGGCACAACAUACGACGGCACGAUUGGGACUCUU
rnacentral:other from 1 species